AAUCCACAUCUGUCCAUGUCAGAAAACAUAUUCGUUGUGCACAAGACUUUAUAUUCGCAAAGAGAAACUAAACUGUAAGAAUUAUGAAAAUUCGUGCCCUGCUGGUCGUAAUACUGUUGGCUAAUAUGGCGGUUCCUGCGAGGUUUGGACACAGGCCAUUAAACAUAGCUAGAGCAAACCAUCUACGUCAACUAAUUUGGAAUAGAUUUAAACAAUCACGGACAUGUAGCAGAUGCUGUGCAGUGCCUUUAACGUCACCGCUGAUACAAGAAGAAACAAGUUUACAACUACUGAAAUCACCUGUAUCUCCUAGAAAUACAACAAUAUUCCAAAAUACAACCAAGAAUACAACAAUAGACCGAAAUACCGCGAAAAAUACAUCCAUAAAUGCAACAAUAGACCGAUAUACAUCAAGAAAUGCAACAAUAGACCUAUAUACAUCAGGAAAUACAACAAAAGACUUGUAUACAAAUACAACUCCGGUUAUAAAGGAAUUCACACCAGCGAUUCCUUUUUAUGUUAUUGCUGGUGAAGUUUUGGCUGCGAUCUUUGUCAUCUCUAUUAUAAUAAUGCUGUUCAUCUAUUUUAAGUAAAGGUAACUAUUACAAGAUGUUCUUAUUAUCUGCUACAAGCUACAGAGUGAAAGUAAAAUUAACAGUGAUCUUUACGUAUUGUUAAACAGCUUAUUAGCAAUUAUACUCCACUGUCUAUACAAAAUAUGGAUUUUGUUUUCAUUUCUCCUAAGAAAGUAUUUUGCAAAUUUGUAAUAUAAAUUUAUAGACUUCAAAAGAACUUAACAAUU